rnacentral:lncRNA from 1 species
AUAACAGUAUACCAGUGGAAGGGAGGACAGUAGCAGGUAACCCUAUGAGCUGAACAUAACAGUAUGCCAGUGGAAGGGAGGACAGUAGCAGGUAACCCUAUGAGCUGAACAUAACAGUAUGCCAGUGGAAGGGAGGACAGUAGCAGGUAACCCUAUGAACAUAACAGUAUGCCAGUGGAAGGGAGGACAGUAGCGGGUAACCCUAUGAGCUGAACAUAACAGUAUGCCAGUGGAAGGGAGGACAGUAGCAGGUAACCCUAUGAGCUGAACAUAACAGUAUGCCAGUGGAAGGGAGGACAGUAGCAGGUAACCCUAUGAGCUGAACAUAACAGUAUGCCAGUGGAAGGGAGGACAGUAGCAGGUAACCCUAUGAGCUGAACAUAACAGUAUGCCAGUGGAAGGGAGGACAGUAGCAGGUAACCCAACAGUGGUUUGUGACUAUUAUGAUUUCCCACUGUAGCAAAUUGAAUUGCAGUAAUUCCGUUACUGAUUUUAAACAAAUUCUGUUACCAAUUUGGUAACAGAAUUUAGAGUUUUAAACACUUAAUAAUUCAUAAACCAAAUAGAUAUCAGUAAAAACACUAUGACUUAUUGGUAGGUCUAUCUUAUUAGACACUAUGACUUAUUGGUAGGUCUACCUUAUUAGACACUAUGACUUAUUGGUAGGUCUACCUUAUUUAACACUAUGACUUAUUGGUAGGUCUACCUUAUUAGACACUAUGACUUAUUGGUAGGUCUACCUUAUUUAACACUAUGACUUAUUGGUAGGUCUACCUUAUUUAACACUAUGACUUAUUGGUAGGUCUACCUUAUUAGACACUAUGACUUAUUGGUAGGUCUACCUUAUUAGACACUAUGACUUAUUGGUAGGCCUACCUUAUUUAACACUAUGACUUAUUGGUAGGUCUACCUUAUUAGA